GAGUUUGAUCCUGGCUCAGAACGAACGCUGGCGGCGUGCCUAACACAUGCAAGUCGAACGAGAAAGGGGCUUCGGCCCUGAGUAAAGUGGCGCACGGGUGAGUAACACGUAGGUAACCUGCCUCUAAGAUUGGGAUAACCUGUCGAAAGACGAGCUAAUACCAAAUAAGACCACAGUUUCCUCGGAAGCAGAGGUCAAAGGUAGCCUCUAUUUAUAAGCUAUCGCUAAGAGAUGGGCCUGCGCACCAUUAGCUAGUUGGUAGGGUAACGGCCUACCAAGGCAAAGAUGGUUAGCUGGUCUGAGAGGAUGAUCAGCCACACUGGAACUGAGACACGGUCCAGACUCCUACGGGAGGCAGCAGUGGGGAAUAUUGCGCAAUGGGCGAAAGCCUGACGCAGCAACGCCGCGUGAGUGAUGAAGGCC
rnacentral:rRNA from 1 species